AGAGAGAGAGAGAGAGAGAGAGGCGAUGAGGCAAUGAAGGCUCCGUUCAAUCUGAUAAAAGAAAAAACCUCCAUUAAAAAAACAAAAAAAAACCAUUCCAGAGCACAUAUUUAUAACAAAGUAGCGCGUCUAACUCUAUCACUUCUUCACUCCAUAUUCGGAAGGUACGCAUUGAAUUUUUCUGGAACUUCUUACUAGCAAAGAGAGAAAUAUCUAAGGCUAGCCAUCACCAUCAAUUUCCCCACCACCAUCCGUUCCCUUUCCAGAUUCAGACCAUCAGAUCACCAGAACCGACAUCGACAACGGUUUUUUUGCCAAAAUACGGUUGAGAGAGAGAGAGAUAUGUUGCAAAAAUACAAGGAGAACCGAGAAAGAGAACAAUAGAGAGAGAGAUUCGGUCUGUCUCAAUUUCUCUCAAGAUUAGAAUUCACAUAAAGGCCUACUUCCUCCCAAAGUCUACGUCCUUCCAGAACUGCUACUGGUCUUUUAGAAGAAGUGACGUGGAUCUCUUUGGGGUAUGCUUUUCAAUUUGUUCAAUCUAUCAUUUUUUUGAAGAAUCAGGUAUUACCUUCAAACAAUGGGUAUGACCUUUUUAAUAGUUUGUUGAAUUCAUUUUUUUUCCCAAUUUAUUACACAUGGUACAAUUCUAGGUAUUAUACAAAAAUGAAAAAAUAAAAAUAAAAAAUGCCUCUUCAAAUGUGGCAUCAUGAUUAUGUGAGCAAGGUAUGUAUUCUCUUCAUGAUAUGUUGCGAUCAGAUUGUAUUCUAAUCAUGCACCACAACUGUGUAUUAUCCAUACUCUCAAGAGGAUUGACUCUAUAUAUCUUAUGUGCCUACUUUGCUAUAAUGGAUGUGGUUUAGUAUGGUGUGACUAGGUGCCAUGCAUUUGGAGUCUCAUUUGAGACUAACUGUGAGAGUUAACAAAACUAUUUUUUGAGAAAUUAAUAUAAGAAAUGCAUUUACUAAAUAGGAGUACAUUAAUAGAAAAGACAUUCCUAAAUCCCUAAAAAUUAUUUGCAAAAAAAUUGUAAAACCCAGGUUGAAUCAAAUGCAAUCCAAAUAGUGGUAAUGUUUAUUUGCAAUGGUAAAUAUACGCAUCACUUUAUCAUGCAUAGUGGUAAUGUUUAUUUUUCAUGACUUCUAUUUGUUCAGAGUUUAGGAAAAAAAAUUUUGUUUUGGCCAGAAGGAGAUGAUUGUUAAGAGAUUGAAUACAUACUAGAUUGCUUUCGAAUAUGCUUUGUUUGUUUUUGUGUUUUUCUAUUAAAAUAAAAAUAUAUGGGAAAAAUUGUGUGCUUCAUAUUUGCUUAAGUUGGUAGAAGUCUUGACAGUGAUAAAUUUUUGUUUCUCAAGGUUCAGCAAAGGUGAGUGUAGACUUAUUGACAAUUUUUUUUUCAAAGUGAAAUUGGAAGUAGGAACAAAUAAAGAAAUAGCAAAGAUUUUGUUAAAAAAAUGUGUUACUUCAUAUCAAGGGAUUAUUUAUUUAAUAUGUUUGUAUGAUUAUUUCCUGCCAUUUUAAAAAACCUUCUUACCCUUUCACUUUUUGUUGAAAUUCAGAUUUGCUGAAUUUUCCCUGUCAAGUAUGAAACUUAAUAAUUAAUGAAUAUGCCAAAUUUCAACUUGGAUGGUUUAAGAUCUGAAAGUUUAGACUGCAUAGUUAUGGGUUUACCCUCUUUCUAUUGAUGUUACGAUAUGAGAUUAUUACUUCUGGUAGUUAUUUUGCGUUGCUGGAAUUUUGCUCAUGAAGAACAAGAAAAGGCAUAUAUUUUAGAAGAUGAUUCAGUUAUUGUUGCUUUGGUAUAUGAAUAAAAAUAAUUAAUUAUUGAAUGAGUUUUGAAUUUUUUUUUUAUUUACAUAUUCUGGAGUAUUUAAUAAAACCCAAUUUCUUGAUAUGUUAAUUUAAGUGCUAUUUGGGAAGAAUAGAAAGUAGUUUGUACCACCUGAGAAAUUUCUUUUUAAUGUUGCUUGUUUAGAAAUGGAUAUGUGUUCUUCUUUCUACUAUGCAUUCUAAAUUUUUUAUUUUUUGUGGGAAAGGGUCAAAAAGAAAGAAAUAAACUAAAGAAUAGAGCACAUGGUGUGUGUAUAGUGUCUUAGGUAAAUUUGGAGAACUAUGUUGAAACGUUCAUAUGCUAAGAAGUUUUUUUCCCUGCCUAAAAAAAAAGAACCAAGAAAUUAAACCAGAAAUAAUAGUCUAUCUGAAGUGAAGGAAAUGUCUAUACUUGAUGAAAUGAAGGACUUUUACCUUUGUUCUCUGAUGUAAAAAGUUAAGAAACAGAAAAUAUCCAAACUACUUGAUGUGUUUAAAUUUGUUAAAGAUGAGAUUUUAGAUGUAAUUCCUCCAGCAUGUAUGUGCUUCAACUUUGGACAUUAGUUUAGUAAAAAUUUUCUUGACACUAUAGUGCUUAUGACCAUUACAUGCUUGAAACUUCCAUGGAGGAGAUUUGGUGGCUUGGAUUAUAAGAUGCAUUCUUAGAAUUUAGACUACAAAAGAUUGAGCAAAGUGUAACUUGGCAGAGAAAAAAUAUGAAUUUGUUUUUCUUUUCCAAUUUUGUUUUAGGUUCUUUUGUGGUUUUCAACUUUUCAUAGAUUUAAUUUAGAGUGUUUCUUCCAAUAGAUAUUAAAAUAUUGUUUCUUUGUUUUUAUACAUUGGAAUUUUACCUUAUAUUAUUAUUGAAUACGUUCUCCUUAGUUUUCGUGAUUGUUAUAGAUUAGCAAAAAUAGUUUGAGUGGAUUAUGAAUAGAAGUGCACUUCUACUAAAGAAAACAAUUUUUGAAAUGUGGAGCUCAAAAGGUUGUAUUAGCUUCUAUCAUUUUAGAGGUUACAUUUAAACAUGGACAACAAUCAUCCAUUUAGCACACCAAAGAAUCCAUUUUGUUCUUAUUGUGUAUACCUUUGUAGUUGGCAUGUUCAAGAUGGACAAAAUAAAAAAAUAAUGCAUGUGAGAAGAUAUGUAUUUGUCAUCAUUUUUUUUUCCAAGUGCUAUUGUGCUAUAGUUUUUACAGGUGAAUGAUGAGGGCCCAAUUCAUCCAAGUGAAAUAGAGCUGGCACUUACAGUUCAUUAGGGCUAGAAUAUGGCUUAGCUCACUAAAUGAUUUUUGGGUUAAUGAGUUCUUAGACUUUAUUUUCUGCAAUGGCGAAUUUUGGACUUUUGACAAUGUUAUUAAACCUAACUCUAUAUCCCACAAUUGUCAUUUUUGUUUUUUGAAUUGAUUGGCAUUAUUAAAACAAAGCCUUUAAUAAACAUAUUGACUAUUGUAUUUAUUGUAUAGUUAUGUCAAAUUGAUAGUAUUUUAAAUGUGUAAAAUGUACCCCACGCAUUGCGCGGGUUAAAUGCUAGUUCUGAUAAUAGACAUUCUUAUACCCUUGAUAAAUUGCUGUUUACACUUUUAGAGCAACUUUGGUGAAAUGAUGCGUUCCCUUUCAUGUACAAUCUCUUUUAGGUUGAUUUGGAGUAUUGCAGAUGAACCUGAAUAAUCUGGAAUUAUUGCAUCUGAUAAGCAUGCUGCUGCCAGGUACUUUCAAUGGAUUACACUUGCCAAAAAGAAAAAGGAAAAAAAGGGGGGGAUGGGGGGGGAAGUUAGAUACAAUUUUUCAGGGAUAAUUUUCGGGAAGUCUGUAAAUUUGGCUGGAAUUCGGCAACUUGUAUUGUUGGUAGUGCCAUUGGUGCACUAUGCAUUGCAGGCAUUCUUUUUAUUGUUGUAUUAAGUUUUACAUUGAUACAUGGCAUGAAGUAACAAAAGUUAUGGAGGUCGCCCAUUGUGCUUUUCCAAUUUCCUAUCUAGUAUUUUCCACGGAGUUGAAUGUGUUUGUGAUGGACGAACAAAGGACACAGUUCUGACUGGCAUAUGGUUCAAGUUUCUUCUUAUGUGAUACAUGCAACAGUUAAAUAUAAAUGAUGAUCUUUUAACUUCUUGGUAUAA